GCAGCUCAGUAGCAGAGCAUCUACUUUGCAUGCAGAUGGUCUCGGGUUCAAUCCCCAGCAUCUCCU